AUUGAACGCUGGCGGCAGGCCUAACACAUGCAAGUCGAGCGGAUGAAGGGAGCUUGCUCCUGGAUUCAGCGGCGGACGGGUGAGUAAUGCCUAGGAAUCUGCCUGGUAGUGGGGGAUAACGUCCGGAAACGGGCGCUAAUACCGCAUACGUCCUGAGGGGGAAAGUGGGGGAUCUUCGGACCUCACGCUAUCAGAUGAGCCUAGGUCGGAUUAGCUAGUUGGUGGGGUAAAGGCCUACCAAGGCGACGAUCCGUAGCUGGUCUGAGAGGAUGAUCAGUCACACUGGAACUGAGACACGGUCCAGACUCCUACGGGAGGCAGCAGUGGGGAAUAUUGGACAAUGGGCGAAAGCCUGAUCCAGCCAUGCCGCGUGUGUGAAGAAGGUCUUCGGAUUGUAAAGCACUUUAAGUUGGGAGGAAGGGCAGUAAGUUAAUACCUUGCUGUUUUGACGUUACCAACAGAAUAAGCACCGGCUAACUUCGUG
rnacentral:rRNA from 1 species